UCCCACACCCUUGACUCAUAAGUUUAAAAUCUACCCAAAAACCCCAGCAUUGCAGAGACAUGCCCAGGCAGACAGGCCUCUCUGUGGAUAGAGCUGUUUGUCAUGGCUAAAGGGAAGAUUAACCGAAGGAAAAGGAGACAGCGAGCCAGCCCGUGUCGCAGUGGCUGGUGACCUGGAUUCCUGCCCCUCUUCUGGACCGAGUGGCUGUGCCAGUGUGGGCAUGGGGCCCAAGCCUGCCGGCCUCCCAGGCACUCACAUUCCACUCCCAGGAGCCCACAGCCUCUGGUGCUGCAGAGCUCCUGCCAGCUUGAUUGGAGCAGCUUAUGACAUGACAGUGGCCAGAAUGACACAGACCUCAGUCCCAUACCGUCCCUCCAGGCACAAGAUGAAAAGGGACAGGCAGCCACAGCCACCCUCCAGACUGAACCAUCAUGGGCACCGAUUCACUGAUCCUCUCCCCUGCCCCCACCCACUCCAAGUGAAAAACUAUUUGUUAAACACAACUAUAAAUAAGCCAGAGCAGCUAUUCCAUUUACCACGAACGGUGGGUGCUGCUAUUCCACGUCACAUUGAGGAAACCAAGGCCCAGAGAGGUUUACCAGUGUGCCCAGGACCCACAGUCAGAAGCUGAGAGGCAAGCCCAGGCUUCCGGCUGUCCCUCCACUCUGGCCUGAUACUUCCUCCAGGACCACGGCCCUUUAAAGGGAAGAGGAUGGGGCAUGAAAGACCAGUGGAAGAAACAGGAAUUCCUCAGGCUGAGGGAAUAAAAGGUCAGAAAACAUCAAAGUUGAUGGAAACUGUGGGUUUCAUGGCCAAAUCCCCUGGCUUAGUCCAGCAGGAAACUCCGGCCCAAAAAAGGGACUUGCUCAGGGAGUUGGGGUUACAGCCUGCACUUCCAAAAUCCCACCAAUGCUUUUUGUACCAAGCCCUCUGCCCCAAAGCCAGGGAGAGGAUAGAUCACUCACAGUUCAUAGCUCAGCUCAGAUGUCACCUCCUCCAGGCAGCCUUCCUUCCCCCUCCACAACCACUCUGCCCCUCCUCUGGGAAUAUGGUAAUAACACUCACUCUUCAUAUUUACUGAAUAUUUACCAAGUGCUAGCUAGACUAGCACGCCACAGGUUUACUCACCUGUCUGUCUCACCCACUGGAUUGUGAGAGGAUGGAAACAGAUUCUGUCUUGGUCACUGUAGCCUCCCCAGACCUCAGGAGACCCGGUACAUAGUAAGUACUCAAUAAACAACUGUGGGACUGAAUGUCCAAAUCAGUGAAAGGAUCAACAGAAUGGUUAUACACGCUAUUCUACAUAACAAUGGCCUCGUGUGCGCACAGGGCUUUCAUUUUUCAAAUCACAUUAAUCACAUUGUCUCAGUAGAACCCAGUGAGAGGCCCCAGUAACAAGGAGAGUGGUAUCAAGUGUAUGCCCACAUACACACCUGCACGCCAGCACAUGCAGCUCCCCUCCAUGUUUAUGUAAGUGUACAGAGACCCAUACACCCAUGCCUUCCUAGCCGGCAAGAAAGAUGCCAUGACGUGCUAUUUCCUGUUUUGUCUGCAAACACGGAGGCCUCCCCCACCUUCUUCCCCACCCCGAGACACACACACACACACACACACACACGUGGCUGGUUUUCCUCUUUAGCUGAAAGAGUGAAAGAGAGCCAGCUGUCCACAAGGGGGCAUUCGAGGACCAUCCAAGUCAGUAUCUCAAAGCCAAGACUGCUACUUGGUCUCAGAGGGACAAGAAGAUCCCAGGAAAAACUGAAGAACCAGGGUGGGGUCUCGCGUGGCAACCCAGAAGAGGAGGUGGUCAGCCACUAGAGAAGCAGGGCUCAUGGAGAUGGAGGCUCCGUCUGAAUAAUAGAAAUGGUGAUAACACUCACUCUUCAUAUUUACCAAGUGCUAGUCCCUGGUCUAAGCACUUCACACGUCAUGACUCGUUUAAUCUUCCUCUCACCUCCUCAAGGCUCAGUGUUGCUAUAAUUCCUGCUUUAUAGAUGAAAAAACUAAUGACUCAGAAAAAUUAAGUAACUUGCCCAGGGUCACUCAGUGGUGAAGGCAGAAUUCGAACUCAGGAUCUGUUGUCCAUAGGUCAUACUGCCAACUGCUCACUCUGCUGCCUCGAGGCUGGACUUUCAGACAUCCUACUUCUCAGCCCAGGAUUCUCUGUGCUGGACGCCACUUCUCACAUCUCCAGGCCCUUUUGGGUGGUUGAUGAAGGACCUGGAAGCUGAUUUCCUAAGAGUGCAUAACUUGGUGCCCUGAAGCUGACCCCUCAUCUGCUAUAAACUGUCGAUGCUGGGUUGGUAUAGUGCCUUUGGAAAGCAGUAAAGCAAUUACUAGCAAAAGGCAUGAAGCUCUUCCUCCCCCUUUGACCCAGUAAUCUCUUUUCCUGGGAAAUUAUUCUAAGAAAAUUAUCCAAAUGAAGCCAAGUGUUAUCUGCAUACAUGCGUGCAUUGAAGUCUUUCUUUAAAGGUCAAAAACUGGGAACCACAAUAAGGAAGUGGUUUAAUAAACUGGGAUAUCAACACAAUGGACAAUCAGGCCUGGAAAUCCACAGCUGUGUGACUGUGAUGGGGAAUGGGAACAUGGAGAAUGCUUCUACCACACAGUGUAUCACCACUACACUCCCACCUAACUAGCUAAUUCAACAAAUCACGCUUAUCAAGGAGAGAGAAGUCUCUCUGUUCAUGUUCAAAAUAAACUCAGCCCCUGACACCCCAAAGGAACAGAAGAGAAGCUUAAAUGCAACAAAAACAAUAAGCUCAAUAAUUCUUGGCUUUUGAGUUUCCAAGGCCCCAGAUCCUGAUGAUAUAUGACAUUUUCUGAGAGUGAUUUUGAUGAUUGGUUAUUGAUGAUUUUCACUUUUCACACUGUACUUGUUAUUUAAGCCAUCUAAUUCGUCAUAUUAAAUUUUG